CCUACGGGAGGCAGCAGUAGGGAAUCUUCGACAAUGGGCGAAAGCCUGAUCCAGCAACGCCGCGUGGGUGAAGACUGCCCUCGGAUUGUUAAACCUCGUUGUUAGAGAAGAAAGUGCGUGAGAGUAACUGUUCACGUUUCGACGGUAUCAAAACAGAAAGCCACGGCUAACUCCGUGCCCGCAGCCGCGGUAAUAAGUAGGUGGCAAGCGUUAUUUGGUUUUAUUGGGCGUAAAGGGAACGGAGGUUGUAUUUUAAGUCUGAUGUGAAAGCCGUGGGCUUAAACGGAGUAGUGCAUUGGAAACGGGGAGACUUGAGUGCAGAAGAGGAGAGGGGAACUCGAUGUGUAGCGGGGAAAUGCGUAGAUAUAAGGAAGAACACC
rnacentral:rRNA from 1 species